rnacentral:lncRNA from 1 species
ACUGCUGCUGCUGCUCUCGUGUCCGUCCUCGUGCUUCUUCUUCUUCUCCUUCUUUUUCUUCUUCUCUUCACCGUGGGCGGCGCCCUCGCCGCCGCCGACACCGGGGAUCUUCUGCUUGAUCUUGUCCACCAAGCCCUCCUUGUGUUCGCCCUCCUUGUGUUCCCCGCCGUGAUGCUGCUGCUGAUGGUGAACAUCAGUAGUGCCGACACCGGGGAUCUGCUGCUUGAUCUUGUCCACCAAGCCCUCCUUGUGUUCGCCGCCGUGAUACUGCUGCUGAUGGUGGACAUCAGUAGUGUGGUGGUCCCCACUAUGGUGCUCUCCCUUGUGCUUGUCCUCCUCCUUUUGCCCUCCUCCCAUGUGAAGGGCUUCUCCGAUCUUGUGAAUAACUCCUGACAUUUUCCCUUAAAAUGACUCUGUUCCUCUUCUUUUCUUUUCAAUGAAAAAUAGUUGUUUGCGAUCUUCUUCUGGUUGUUGUUGUUCUUGUUGGGUGAUCUUGGCUUGGUAUUUAUAGGCUCCAAAAGGAGGGACUAGAAUUAGGAUUAGAUUAUAGAUUAUUUUAAUACAUUUUAUGGCAAAUUCUGAUUUGGAAAGAUAAGAUUAUCCUUUUGGUUUUCCUUAUUUACCCUUUUGCACCCAUUACGUGUACGCGUCUUCGUGGGCUUUUUGGGUAUUUCAAUUAUAUCGCCAAUGCUAAAUCGACACGUUGCAUAUCAGCCGCGGUACUGCCGUAUGUAGUUGUCCAGAAAUCGAGUCGAUUCUCGAUCGUACAAUAAUUAAAUAAUAUUUCAUACGAAAUGAGUUUAGAUAUAUUUUGAAAAUUUAUUUUUAAUUUAAUUAUACGUGUUAUAUAUUUGUUAAUCGAAUAGAGGUCCCACGUAACAGAGUGUUUCUCUAAUCUUUCAUUGCUUUUAAUUAAUUUUACCCAAAUAAAAAAAAAAAGGAAAAUUUAGAGAGAGAGAGAGAGAUAGCGAAUUAGAAGUUGAUUGUAAUAUCGACACCUGUCAGACAAUCAAAUAUCGUUAGUUAAAAAUCAGUUGUCCAUAGUCAUGGUCAUAGAUGGCGAAAUUGAUACUUAUUUUAAAAAACAAAACAAAACAAAACGAAACGAAACUAAACUAACAGAUGUUGAAAUGCAGUUCCGUGUUAACAGUCUGUGAUGAAUCUUUAUCUUUGAGUAUACCAUUCAAGAAAUUAUCAUUCAAAAAUUUAUUUAAAGCAGCAGCAAAUCACCUUCUAAUUCCUGAAUCAAAUUAAUUCGAUUUUUUUCGAGUCGAUCAAUUCAUUAGAGAAUUAACGGGCUAAGUUAAAGUUUUGUUAGUUAUUUUUUUUUAUAUUCCUUUAGAUGAUAUGAUUGUCAUUGUCUUUCUUUCUCUGGGCAACAAUAAAUACAAGAUGUGCAAAAGCGUAGUGGAACAUAAUUCGAUUAUGGGUAAAGGGAUCAGUCCGCAUAAUGAGGAUAAAGUUUUUCUCUUUAAAAAAAUUUAACCCAAAGAAAAGGUCGUAGUUUGUAAUAGCCGACACGCAGAUAGAUCACAAAGCAUGGCGGUCCUGAUGGCAAUAACUAACUGAUAUCUUCUGCGAUGAGAGGAGAUCACGUGGUUCUGACACGUAUCGCCCCAUCAACUGAUGUUGUGGCUGCAAUCGCGGCCCAGUCUUUAGAGAGAAGAAAGAUCUGUUAUAACGGGACCUACUUUAGCAUCUAUUUACGACAAAGCCCCUAUUUACUCUACUUAGUAGUAAUAAUAGCAAGUGUCGGGCUUGGAUUCCGUGUUGCUUUAAAUAAAUAUCCGCGUAAAAAGAAAAUGCUUCUUUAAUCCCUUCCUUGUAAUUUUUCGACACGUGGAUGGUUGAAAUUAGCGUGCCGACAUCUUAGGAAUUUUAUCUUGGAGACGGGAACACUGCAGUAGGCAAUGCCAUUUUCUUCGGAUGGUGUGUGGUGACAACGCCUUGGAUUUUGACGUGCAAAGAAUUUAAAUUGAAAAAGAAAAAAAGAAAUUACCAGAAUAAGCAUAGAAGAGAUAUUUUUCUUUUUGUCCUUUUUGGAAUGGAAAAAGAGAUCAAGAGAUUGUUCCAGUAAGUAUUACACAUGUCACAGGCUUAUUCAUGCCCCAUUAUGGCAACUUUUAUGCCUCGCGGUGCCCUCGGUUCCAGCAUAAUAGCUAAGACUUCAAUUUUUCUAACAUAUUUUUGUUACAAAUAUGAACGGAGUAAAUGUAUAACUUUAAUCCUUUGAAUAAAGAAAUGGCGGUUCUCCUGCUCGUUAAUCUCACUUGAAUCCCACCCAGGCAAAAUUUCUUUAUUUUAUUUAACAACAAUUUAAAGAAAGAAACUUUUGCCAGGUUGAAUUUCAAGUGAGAUUCAUUCGUGGGAGAAGUGCCAUUUCUUUAUUCAAAAGAUUAUGGUAAUUACAACUUUCAAUUUCGACAUAAAUUAAAAUUAUAGGCUAUACAAUAAAAUUGCCCUAAAUUAGUCCUAAUCAAUUCAGAUUAUAAAUUUAGGUAUAUUUAUUAUUUUAAUAUAUUAAUGUUCUAUAUAUAUAUAUAUAUAUAUAUAUAUAUGUGUGUGUGUGUGUGUAUNNNNNNNNNNNNNNNNNNNNNNNNNNNNNNNNNNNNNNNNNNNNNNNNNNNNNNNNNNNNNNNNNNNNNNNNNNNNNNNNNNNNNNNNNNNNNNNNNNNNNNNNNNNNACAGCAGAAAAUAUUUGCUAUGGAUAAGGAGACAUGGUCCCACGUCCCACCGUCCCAAUGCAUAUUUUGUAUGUUUCCAUCUUUUCUGAAAUUUUAAUAAAUAAAGUUUUUUGACCACUUGGCCAAAGAACCUUACCCUUACACAACUUUGUGGUUGGAGUCCUGUGAUACAUGUAAGAACUUAUUUUUUUUCUUAAUUAUAAUAUUUUAGAAUAUAAUUAAGUGAAGUAGGUUUUUUUUUUAAAUAUGAGUAAAAUAGAUAUUUUUUAAAUAUUAAAGAGAGUAAAAUUUGAAUAAUAAUAUAUUAAAAUUAAUACAAACUAAUUUUAAUAAUUAUUUAAUUAUAAAUAUCAAUUAUAACAUCAUAUAAUAUCAAUUAUAAUAUCGUACAUCUCAAUUAAUUCAAUAAUAAUAAUAAUAAAUGUUUUUUGGGAUAAGUAAACAGUCGCAUGGCGACAAUAGUGGAUCUGGAUUAGAGUGAAGUGGUCCCAAGAGGCUGAGGCUGUGGCUGUGGAGUUCUAAAAGUCAAAAGCUCCACGCACUUUGUUUCAGUACCAUACACACUGAAAAAAUUUGCAUUUGCAAUGACGAAAACUUUUCACGAAAUCAAAACACCUCUAAACUAUUUUGUUAUCGAUAUUUAAUGGAGGGGUUUCCUACCUUUUUAACACUCGAUUCACGCCUUGACGCAUCUCACAGAAAACCUCAUGAUCCCAUUAAUCUUGCGUAACAUAUCUCAAAGCCAAUGCAAGUGAUCUUGUUGCCUACUUCCCUUUGACGAUUCAAAAUUGUUGAAAAUAAUUCUUUUUUUUUUUAACCUCAAGGAAGUGACAAAAUAUAAAAGAAUAUUUUCUACACAUUAAACAUCUAGAUUUUUUUUUCUUUUCUUUUUAGAGUACUUGCACAAACCGUUUCCAAGAGAGACCUUUUUUUUUUUUUUUUUUUUCCGGGCUUGGUUACUAAUUUGGUGUGAAUACUCUAUGGUGAAAAAGGAAUCACAAAGCUGUAAUCAAUUUUUUUGCAUCAUUUAGUUGUAACUUGAACAUUGGGAGGUUUAUAAAGAAUUAAAUUAAUUAUAAUGCCUCUACUAGGAAAAGUUCAGAGUAGCCCUUCACAACUUUUUAAAGGCUUAAUAAUUUUCGCUUUCUUCCUCUCAUAACAUAACAAAAAAUUAAGAGCUUUACUCGUACACGUCCUAUGGCUAUAUAGUAUUGGGUUCUCUACUUCAAUCGGCUAUCUCAAACCGAAGGUUAUUUGGACACACCAGCAGUCACGUUUGGAAACUCUCAAAUGCUUGGAUUGUAAUUCUUGUGGAUGAGAUCAUCUAAAUCUUGGGCCCAAGCCGGACAAUGGGUGGACAAAGAACCCUAAAAUACAGUAAAGCUUCUAACACCCCACUAAAACUCUUAAGAAAUCCUACCUUUUAUUUUUAUAUCUCUUUCUUUUAGAAAUUAUAGAGAAGACAUAGCAUUUUAAUUAUUUUCCCUGCCAUUGAAAAUAAAUUCUGUAAACAUAUUUUUUCAUAAUAAAAUUAUUGUUAUUAGAUAAUUUAUUUCUUCAUUGUUUCAAAAUUAUUAUAAUUUUAUCAACAAAAUUAGUUAUGUCAUAUAUUAGGAUUAAAAUUAAUUAGGAUCCAUAACUUGUAAAGACAUUUUAGUUUAAUUGAAUUCAUAUUUGUCAUUUUAUGUAAUUUUCAAUAAAAAUACGACUAUGAGUGCAAAAGUGGGAUGACAUAAUAUUAAAAGAGUGUGAAAUAAUCGGUAAUUGAAAUGGAUUGAAAUCAUAAUAGAGUAUGAAAAUCAGAAUAAAUUGUUUACUUUAGUUGUAGAAAUCAAAAUUAAAAUAAACCAUAUUAUCAUUGAUGUAUAUAUGUUUUCUUGUAAUCGAAAUGAAUUCUUAUAAGUUACUAUAAGACCCUUAUGGUGUGUUUACUAAUCAGAAAUCAGAAUGGAGUGGAAUUUGAAUAUAGAAUGGUAGGGGUAUUCGCGGAUCGGAUUUUACGGAUUGGACAUUAAUUCAUAUCCGAUCCAUAAUUUUACGGAUUAUAAAUUCUCAACACAAUCCAAAUCCAAUCUAUAUGUUUGCAGAUCGGAUGCGGAUUUGACUCAAUUCAUAUCCAAUCCACUAUUUGACGGAUUGAUUUUGGAAUUAAAAAUUUUUAAUUUUGUCCAAUCUAUGAGGUAAUUAAAUUUAAAAAUCUAAUAUAAAAAUAAUUUAUUAAAUAAAAAAUUAACGUAAAAAUAAUUUUACUACCAAUUAAAUUCAAAAUUGAACAAGAUUUAAAUAAAUUAAUUAUUUAAAUAAAACUAGAAUAAUUUAUUUAAAAUUUUUAAAUAUAACAUAUCGAAAAAAAAUUCAUUUGUUUAGAUUAAUAUAUGAAAAUUAACUAAAAUUAUGAAUUUAAAUGUUGAAAUUUGAGAGCUUGGAUGUAACAGGAAGAAAUUAAGAAACUUGAAGAACUUGAAAAGAAAGUAACAAAUUAAGCUUAACUACCUCUAAUGGUGAAGUGAAACAGUGAUGGUUUGUGCGUGCAAUGGGGUACAAAUUUGGCAUUAUAUGCCAAAAUAUUUUGUUUGGCUUUAGAAUUUUUAAUGUUUAGGAAGCUAUAUUUGUUUAUUUAAUUACUCAAAUAUUUAAUUAUUUUUUAUUUUAUGUUAUUAUUGAAUAAGAUAUAAUAUUGUGUUAAUUUAGCUAUACUUUAAUUAAUUAAUUAAUUUAUUAGUAAGUAGCAUUGCUACAUUUAUAAGUUUUAUUUUUUAUUAAAUAAAUACUUUUUUUUUUCAGAUUCACGAAUUUUUACGGAUUUACAGAAAUAAAUCCAUAUCUAAUCCAUCGACUGUGGUUUUUUAAAUUUUCAUUCCAAUCCGAUCUACCAAUCCACAAAUUAUAUUUUUACGGAUCGGACGAAUUGAGCGGAUCAAAUUGGGUUCUGAACACCCCUAGAGAAUGAGAAUCAAAAUAAAUUAUUUACUUUAGUUGUGUGAAUCGGAAUUGGAAUAAAUUGUACUGUCAUUGAUGUGUUUACUUUAUCUUGGAAUCAGAAUGAAUAAUUUCAAAUUACUAAACUGACCUUAAUUUUUUAUUGUAAUAAUAAUAGUAGUAGUAGUAGUAAUAGUAGUAAUUUUCUAUUAUUAUUAUUAUUUUCUCUCUCUUUUGUUUUUAUUUUUUUAUUUUUCUCUUCUUCUUCUCUUCCUCUUUUUUUAUUUUUCUCUAAUUCAUCGAUACUUCUUCUUCUUCUUUUUUCUUUCGUUUUUAUUUUUAAUUUUUCCCUUCUUUAUCGUUCCUUCUUCUCCGUCCAUUCUCUAUCUUCAAACUCUUUUUACUUUUUCUCUUAUUCUUCAUUACUUCUUCUCCCUUUUUUUUUUUUUUCUCUUCUUUAUUAAUUCUUCUUCUUCUGCGUCUAUUCUUCAUCUUCAAAUUAUCAAGUGAAAAAUACCCACGGUGCCUUACAAGAAGAAUUGGUUUUGUUUGCUUCAAUUAUUUUUUGUAUUUUGUACUUUUGAUUGUUUCAAAAGAGGAUAAACUUGUAAUAAUGCAAUUUAAGUAGGGAUGUUUUAGACAAUUUUGGGUAUGAGAGUCUAAUUCCCAACCCCCCACUCCCUCGUAGCAGACUCCCAUUCUUCAUUCCUAACUUGGUGUUGGACCUACUAAAAUAAAUCCCAUUCCCCUUCUUAUUUCAAGAAGCAAACACGAUUUUGAUUUCAAUUCCCCAAUCCGAAAGUAAACGCACAAAAAUUGUACCCAUAUGAGAUUGCUUAUCCUCGAGUUUUUAGAUUGAAAAAAAAAAAGGAAAAAAGAAUGGCCCCAUUAGGAAGGGAUUUUAAGUGUUAGAUAAAGCCGGUGUUAACCAUUAGAAGGUCUCCGACCUUCAACUGUAAUAUAUUAAACCCAGAUAAAUUUACAUAUAAAUCACACAAACCAACAUGCCAAUCAAAUAAAUUACAUCAACUAACAACAAUUGACACAUUAAUUUUCAUAAUACAGAGGAUGCAGAAAAUUAAAAUGUUUUAUCUUUUCUCCUUAUUUGUGAAUUGGAAAAUGAAAAUGUUAAACAUACAGAAGAGUGAAACAGGAUGGAUAUAUAUACACACACACACACACACAGCUUUGGAGUUCAAUGUCAUCGUAUUGCUCCAAGAAGAUUGGCGCCAUCAAGCUUUGCACCUUCCAGAUGCUGUUUAAUCAUCACCAUAACACCUUCAGUAGACAUUAAUACAUAAUAGAAACACAAAAUUCACAUGAUCUGAAUGUCUGGUCUAUUUUACUUACCGUAUCUCGAAGAUUUACGUGCCGUAAAUAAGCUCUUUGAAGGUUGGCACCCUUUAAAUUGGCAUUACGUAGCUUUGCACCCUGCCGCAUAAAUGUUCGAAGUUUCAACAAAUUAAAGUCUCCUGAGAAAUACAUGUCACGAAAAAGUAGGGCUGAAACUUGCAUCUAAUGUACAAGAUUCAAUCAGGGGUGCUUGUCCCACAGUGAAAGUGUAUGGGGGAAAGUGCACUUUCACAAACCAAAGGGGCAAGAUGUGAUUAUCACACGAUUACAAAAGGACUGUAGUCAAGAGAGAGAACUGAACAUGCAGCUUGUAUUGAGGCCAUGAAAAUUGAUGAAAAGCAGUAACAAGCAACCAUUUUGAAAACACUUCAUAUGGUCGAAUCAAUAAAUCAAAGCUAAAAUGAUGUUGACGAUCGAUAGCUUUUAGGUGAUAAGAGUCUUGGCACUACAGUUAAAAUUAUUAUCUAGGAGUGCACACAUUAAUAAAAAAAAACACAACCAAUAAGCAUGCACUCUUAAUCAGCAUAUAAAUUAACAAGUUAGUUGCACCUUAUGUUGUUCCACAAACAGAUUGCUCGAACAAUUCACAAUCUUACCUUCAAAUUAGCUCCUUCCAAAUUAGCUCCCUCUAGGUUGGCAUUAGUAAGAUCAGCAGUCUGAAAAGUCAAGAGGACAAACAGAUUGCAAUUUGAUUAAAAUCUCAAAGUAGCAACAUUCUGCAUGAAAGAAGAGCAGCACAAUUGGCAACAUACAUUUUAGAUUAAGAGGAUGGGAUAAAAGCAAAAUUACAAGGACAUGAAGCAAAUGAGCCAUGUUUAGUAUGGCAAUUUUGACCCAAUAAUUGUGGCAGGUCUUGGAGAUAACAUAGGCAUACACAUAAGGCAGAAGCAAAUACUGUCGCAAACUCCUAGCUAACUACAAAUGUUCCAUAUAGAAAAAAACACCUGCAAAAGUAAGGGAAAAAGCAACAGAUAAAGAACUCAAGAUGCUAGACCUGUAAGUGUGCAGAUCGCAGGUCUGCUCCACAGAAGCUGCAGUCUAUCAAGCAAGCAUCUGCAAUGAUUUAAGAUAAAUUUGAAUCCAAAUGACAUUUUACCGCAAGUAGUUCCAGCCAUUUUGGGAACAAACAAGAAAUGCUAUUUUGUAUUCAUUGUAAUUCCUUAAGCUAAAUAACAAUCAUGUGCUAUCUUAACCAAGGUACAGUUGCAAAUUCUGAAAUUGUGAUGCCAUAGGUUGUUCUUAAUCUUUUUGAACUGAAUAUUGAAAAAAUAUUCCUUCAAUCAUAAAUGUUAAAUAAUUAAAAGAACUGUGAGGGGGGNNNNNNNNNNNNNNNNNNNNNNNNNNNNNNNNNNNNNNNNNNNNNNNNNNNNNNNNNNNNNNNNNNNNNNNNNNNNNNNNNNNNNNNNNNNNNNNNNNNNNNNNNNNNNNNNNNGGGGGGGGGGGGGGGGGAAUGAAUAAGCGGAUGCAUACAGAAAAUUAUGGAAAAUCUGUUAUGGAAAUAAUAUGAAAAUGGGUAUGCAUAACUACAUACUGAAUCUUGACUAAUUUCAAUUUAAUUCAGAUAAGAAAUUCCAGUAUGGGAAUUGCCUUGUAAAUUUGCACUCUGAAGAUUUGCACCAGCUAGUAAAGCUCCACGAAGGUUUGCCCCAGCAAAUUCACAUCUUCCCUAGGCAAGAUAAAACCCUUAAAAGGCAAUUUUGAAAAAUACAUAUAAUUGGGAGAAUAUCCAGUAUUGCUUUGACUCUCUUACUCACGCAAAGUUGCAUUGUGAAAAAUGGAACCCUCAGCAUCCACAUCCUGUAUCAAGAACAGACAGAUUCAGUAUGAUUAAUAUAACUGGUUGCUGGAAGACAGGACAAAAUCGCAUCUUGUCACUGUCAACUUGCAUGUUAAGAAUUAAACACGAAAACUGCAUGCUGUCCAAUUAUAAGAAACCUAUAAAAUUCAAAUCAACAUCAAUACUGGCUUAAGGAAGAUAUAAAAAUAAAAAUUAUACCAACCCGAAAUUUCGCAGAUUGAAGAUUUGCACGUGAGAAGAAAACAUUUCUAAGACACGCAUAGCUGAAGUCCACAAGUGAAAGAUCCUGGCCAUUUUAAUAAGAUAGCAUCAGAGGAAACAAUAUCUAAUGAAUAUAUAAUGUUCUUUCUUGCUUAUCUGAGAAUACUAAUGAGAUUAUCAAAAAAACUCUAAGCUACUGCUAAGAAGUCUUGUGUUACAUGAGUAUGAAUUGAGGAGGUAAAGAAGACCCUUCUCCAAUAAGUUACCAUAGAAGCCACAUAAAACCCUAAAGCAGUUACAAACUUACAAUGACCAGAAUAAACCACCCCAACUAUCUAUUGGCAAGUAAAAUCACUUCUCUGGAUUUCUGAAAACUAGCAAAACAAAUGCAUAAAUUGGCAAAUUCGAUGAUUUCCUCUGAAAACCAAAUUAUAGCAGACAUAAAACUUGGAAGUAUUCAUAGAAUAAAAAUCUUUCAAGCACCUCAAUUCAGUAAUUAUUACCAGCUUAGAAAGAUCAAGGCCAGAAAGAUUAAGUCCUCGAAAUCUGACUUUUUCAGACUGUAUACACUUGAUGAUAUCAAUGCGUGUUAGCUCAGUAUCUAACUCAUUAUCUUCCUUUCUCUUAUUUAUGACAGCAUGGAUUCUCUCAAUUAGUCCCUGAAAUGAAACACAUUAGAUGCAAACUAUUAUUUGAAAAAAGAAAUACAUUUUAUCCACUAACACACAUGGAUUUCAACAGCAAUCAUACAAUAAUUGAGGAAGGACGGUCAUAUCAGACUCAUCUGCCAAGAUUCAAUAAGCACAUCAAACUUGUUUACAUGUAAUUUCCACAUUCCACGUGAAUUUAUAAGGUCUGCCUAAGCAAACCAAAGAAGGCUACACUCAGUACUGUGUGUAUACUGCCUUACCUUUGCUGUUCCCCAGAUACCGUCCUGCAAUCCAGAUACUUAGCUGUGAAGUUUCAAGCCAGCGAAACCAUUUUAAAAGUACACAUGGACACAGAUACCAUUAUCUGAAUCAUCUUCGAUAACAAAUUAAAAUGCCCUAGCGUUCAAAAAACUUAGGAUCUCUUUAAGUGAAGUUCCUUUAAAAAAGUAGAAAAAAACUGAACAACAAUGUCAUGCUAAUAAAAGGUAAAAAAAAUAAAAUAAAAUAAAGCAUAAGGACAGAAGUUCACCAGGAGCAUGCCAGUAUAAACCAAAACGACCACAAAUCUCAACCAUAAAAUUUAAAGUAGUAAAGUAAAUAAUCAAGGGCAUGCAGUUGGCACAGGUGCUUCCAAAUAAAAUGAUGAUUCUUUUCAAACAGAAAAAAGAAAUGGAUGUUAAUAAACUAGAAGAAACCAUGUCUUACAAGUAAUUGAUAAUAUUCUGCUUCCCGUAGAAGCUCUAAAAACUCUGACUCUGUUAAUGUGGGGACAGCCCCAUCCCUUAACCAAUUCAGAAUAUGCCGAAAAUGUUUUCCGUCCCUAUCAACAAAGAUAUAGCCCUGCAAUAAUUCAAUAUGCUCAAAGAUAAGAAUCUGAAUAAUAUACCCAAGAGAAGUGCUUUUCCCUGGAAUAAUAAAAAGAAAAUAAGUCAAAACGUUUUUCUUAAUGGAAGAACACAAAGGAACAGCUCUAUGACUAACAUGAAAACCAUAAAUCAGAAUAAGAACCCAAAACUGGUCAUUUGGAGUUUCACCAGAUCAAAAAGAUCACAUGGAAAUAAAAUUGUGAAAAUGGGAUUAUUUAUGCCGAGGUCAUGGCUAAACUGCAAUCAUUACUCCAUUUUUGGUAGAAGGAGAAGAAGAAAGAAGAGUAGGUGAGUCAUCAUUCUUUCAGGUGAGUCAUCAUUCUUUCUCUGUGAUUAAUUGAUAUGAUGGAAGUGUUGUAGAUAUUAAUUUGAUAGUGAUUCCUCCCUUCAAAAGAAUUCAUUCCUUUUUUUAUUAUUUCACAAAGUUUAACUAAGACUGAGUUUUCUCAAUUUGAAGGCAUCGUGCACUCUACCCCUUUCUUUUCCUCACAUUGCUUCUUCCCAAUCCCAAAGGGAAGAAAUCAAGAAACAAUUACAAUUUUUAACUAUUCACCAGCAAAAACAAGGCAAAGAAAGAUGCUGAGUGUAAGCAAAAAUAAGAGAGUUAUACACCUCAGAGUCUUGGCACACAGUAUGGCGACCGCUGAACAUAGCUGCAAGCAUAGAUUCAGGCUCACGACGAGUCAGAGUAUCAAUUGUUGUAUAAAAUUUCUUUCCCCCUGGAUAUUAAUACAUAAAAUAUAAAUUUGUUCACUUAAAAGCAUGAAUUGUGCAAAUUUGUCAAUAAUGUCAUUCUUUCACAAACGUUCACCGAAAUGUAUAACAAUAAGUGCAUCAUAACAUAACUAAACGGCUUAAGAACUGCGCAGAUAUUACAUACAGUAGAGAAACAAGAAAUAGAAAAUGAGAUUUGCCCUUUUUAAACAGAAAGCAAUCAAAGAGUAAACUAAAGAGCUAAUAAUUCACAAAAUUCAGUUGAUUAAACUCAUUUACAAGUAAUUAGCAACAAAAUCCAAGCUAAAUAAAAAUAAUGAAAAUUAGGUUCUUAUAACAUCCGUCAAUUCUAUGAAAGUUUACCACGAUCAGCAACAAAUAGAUAAAUCGCAAUAAAGAAAAACCGACGACAUGUCGGUUGUGUAGUGCAUAAGUAAAGGAAUUUGCAGAUGAUGUAAAGAGAAUGAGGGAUAGUAACUGACCGAUGUUGAGACGAACCAUUGAAGACGAAUCGGAGUCCUUCGCCAUUGUCGAGUGUAAUGACUUGUCGUCUUACUUGCGCUCAUAGGUAUUUAUAUCAUAGCUGACACUGUUCGAAGGACAGCAAGGAUUUGGUGGGCACAAAUGCAUUUUGGAAAUUGGGCUUCGGCCCAAGAAAUCGAAAAUCAGAGGCUUUUUUUUAAAAAAAAUUUAAAAGGAUUAGAAUGUCUAUAAAUUAAUAGGGCUGAGACCAUCUUAAAUCUAUUAAGUAAAAGAGAUAUUAAAUAUUUUAUUAAUUAAUAAUUUAUUAAUUUACAGAAUUAUUUAUAAUUCAAUUAACAUACAUUUAAUAACUAAACAUUCAAUGUACAUAAUUUCUGAUUACAAUUCAAAGCACUAACAAUACUUCAUAAUUUCUUAUUACAAUUCAAGAAUUCAACCUCAUAGCUUUUAGAUGCAAUAAGAAAAAUAAGAAAUAAGAUUCAGUUAUAUUUAAAUUUUAAGAAAAAAACAAUAAAAUCAUAUUUUAUGUAAUUAAAAUAUCAUAGUCAACUACAUUUGUAAUUUCAACAAAUUAUUACUCUAUGAUUUAAAUGAGACCACAAAGUUAUAUAAGAUUUUAUCGAAAUUAUUAAUUUAAUCCAUUAGUCCAUGUCAAGACCUUGAAAAUUUAAUAAUUAUAUAAUAGAGAUUAUUAAUUUAUCGAGUAUUAAUUUAUAGAAGUUCUGAUUGUAUAUUAUUUUAUAUUAAUAAAGAAUAAAGUAGCAUUCUUUUUUAAUUCCGAAGUAAUAAAAUUAUGGCUAAAUUAAGAGAGUAGAUAUAUUUUAUAACUUGGUUUAAUAACAUCACGCGCCUCCCUUGUAGUUUUGCAGCUUUGAAGCUUUAUAAUGAAUCCUAUUAGCUUUGGCUGGAAAGUUAUAUUGUUAAAGAGAGUUUAUAUAUUAAACAAGGUGAUCUAAUAUUUCCAAAACUAAAUUUGGGAUCAAAAAUAGAAAACAUUUGCAUGUUUUUACCUUUUGGAAGAAUUACUUGAUAAGUGCUUCACAGAAAAAUGCUUGCUAUUAUAGAGCACCCUAAAAAAAAUCCUUAAUAAUUGAGGGAUCAUAAUAAAGUUCAAUUCUAAAUCUGUCAGAUAGAUCGAAAGUAACAAACCAUAUAUAUUUAAAUCUAUUUAGUAAUCCAGGGUUACAAGCCAAGCGUGCAAUAGCCAAUUCUGAAAAUCAAAGCUCAGCCUAUGCUCUCUGAGCACAAAUAAGAUCUGAUAUAUACAUAUCGAAUCCUCCAUUAUGUGGAGUGAAAUUUCCAUCGUGUACGGUGUACCUAACAAUGAGAAAGCAUGGCAGCAUAAAUUCAUCUUCCAUGUUAUUCUACUUAUUAGUACUGGUUCCCUCAUAACUUCUCCAAAUCGGGGAGGUCUGCAAUGUGUAAAGCACGUAAUCAGAUAAAAGAAAGAGAGCCAAAAAAAAAAAAAAAGGUAACAGCCAAAAGAUUAAAUUUCUUUGAGAAAUAGAAAAUGGGAGCUUUUGGCAUAGGCACAGAAUAGAAAGUAACAGAGUCAUUUACAGUUGUUCAGAAUAUGCAAGCUGAAAACAACUUUGAAUGCAAUGGACAAUUCCUCCAACAAACAAUCGAAUUGGAUUGUGGAAGAGACAAAAGCUUAAUGAGGUUAUGGUUUUGGCUAGGUGAACUCAAAAUUCUUUUAUAGACCAAGUAGGUAAAAACAAAUCCCAUAUAGAUGGAUGAACCUCAUACCAUGAACAGUUAAUCGCGAACACUUGCAGGCUUAUGCACACGACUAUGAAGAUACUAAGGGUUUCACCGAUGGUAAGUGAAAAAUAUAUGAUGUAUAAUUUAAAUGGAAGCACAUAGUUUCGGAUUGAAUUCAAGGUUAAAGUUCCACAGACAGACAGAAGAGAUGAAGCUUAAAAACUUACAGAGCAUUCCUUCAUCAUCACUGCUUUCAUCAUUUUGGCCAACAUGCUGAAAAAAGAAUAUGAUUCAAGUUAAAUGAUUGAGCAACAAUAAAAAACGUGCAAAAUUAAUGCUCUCUCCACAAAAAUUUCAGUCUAUAUUGGUAAGAAGAAACAGGAAGAAAAAAUUACCUCAGCAUCAUCGUCAUUGGAAGCCAAAUCAGCUGUAAAGACCACAAAAUGUUUGGUUAGAACCAGUGGAAGUCUUACUCUAAAAUUUUUAAUUUUUGAAUUUCGAAAGAUCUCGUAAUGACAAAGAUUUUCAUAUCCAGUGACCAAGUUUUGAAAAUUAGAAUACGGAAUGACAUCAACUAAAUUCACUAAUAUAAGCUAGAGGAAUCCCUAGUAGAUAUAGCGCACAUGCACACAUGAUAUGCAUCCGAAUACACAAUAAUAAAUUAUCUCAAAGUCAAUAAGAAGCCAAAAUUAGAGAUAAACUUUUAGCCACUAUAAGGAAGACUGAUAUUUGCAGUGUGAUUACAAUAAACAAACAGAAACUUCACUACCCAUAAGUAAAACAAAAUAAAUAAAGGAUAAUAACUAACCAAGAAAUGGAAAAGCUCACAUUCUCUGAACACGCACCCCAAAAAGAAAGAAAGAAAUAAAUGUUCUCAUUGGAUCUGAAGCACAAGCAAUCCACUGACAUCCUUCUAUAAUUAGGUAAUUUAAAGGGGUUAAGCUCACAUCUUUUACGGAAGUAAGAAGAGAAUUAACAACCUUCCAGAGGAUUUAGGGAAAUACCACGAGGCAAGAAAAAAGAAAUAUCCUUCUUCAAUCUAGAUAUCCUGAUACUGCUCACCAUCUACAACAGUCUGUGGCUUAAAAAGCAGGUCACUGAUCUCUCCCUCCCUCUGGCACCAUUUUCUCUCAUGUCUCAUUUUUCCCUUCCUGCCAACUCCCACUACAGUAUUGAAACCUAUUCUAUCAACUCUUCCCCCUCCAAUAACAAGACCAAAACCAAUUUUACUCGCCGGUUAGCUAGGUAGUAAAUGGAAAUUUGUGAAUCUGUCAUUCAUCCGUAGAAACAAACCAGAACUGCAUAAAUUCUCUUCUCUCCCAACAGCUUCUUUUCUCCAGAAAUAGGCACAAGUAUUUGACAUGGAAACAGUUUAUCUAACAUGGCCACCUUUAAAGACAAAGACAUACUAAGGACGUGGUUUUAGAUACGGAUACAAGAAACAAUCACAAAAUGUAAAAUCUAUACAUAUGAUAUUAAUUUCCAAUGGAUACAGCAAUUCAUUCUUUGACAUAACUUCAUCAGAUUACUAGGUUUGAUUAGGUUAUACACACAUUUAUUCAUUUAUUGAAUCUACAUGCACUUAGAAUGAGAGGUACCUAUAAAAACAAGUUACCAGAAAACAAUACAGCUAGAAAACAUUAAUCUAAGUAGUUCUAUAGGUUUAACUAACUGCAGGAAAAAACCAUUGAUUUUGUCCGCCAGAUUAUCGAGAUCCUAAUUCUGGUAAAAAGAAAAUGAGAUAAUAGAAAAUCAAAAAUUAAAUAGACACAAAAUGAGAAAUCAAGAUCAUAUGGCAACUAAUAUAUAGCAUGGGCUGCAGCUAACAAGCAAUAUAAGCCAUGAUAUUAUGCCAGAUACAAAUUUUGAGAUCCAAGAGAGAUCAAGAAGCAUGAAUACCACUAAAAUAUCGAAAGAAGUGAGUGCAGAAGGAUAAGAAAUCAGGUUGAUAUUCUUCAUACUUUGGAUCAACACGUAGUGAUGCAAUAAACUUGUAAUUAGCUUCAAAUGUAUAGGCUACCAUGUCAACAUUUCCGAAAACACACAAGAUUGUGCUGGAUUCAUACAUAGUACAUAUAUAAAAAAACAAUCUGCUUCUAAACUUCAUGAGAACAUCGAAUAAUGAACUUACAAUUUGAUCCCUCAUCAUCUUCAUCGCACCAUUUGUUCCAAUCAACCUUAAUGUAAGGUGCUGGUUUCUCUUCUGACUUGAGUAGCCUUUUCCACCAACCUUUCUCUUCUUUUUGGACCGAGCAUAUUAUGUUCCUUAAGCCAACUUUAGUCUUACAUUUCUGCACCACCAGCAACAAAACUCAAAGCAUUACAAAAGAGGUAUAUUUAGCCGCUCUUGACUCGAGUGAGAGAACAGGAUAAAUAGCCUAGGUAUAUCCACAUCCAUGUUAUGAGAUUGAUUAUGCAACAGCUAACUUUAAUAUAAAGCUUUUGCUUCAACAAAGACUAAAAUGUUUGUAAUUGUUAUGCUUUUGGAGCUAAAAUGUUUGGCAAACACCCACUUUUACUCUGCACCUAAUAUCUACCACCCACCCACACACUAAGUCUCUCGUUUGGUACAGCUAUUUAUCAGUAGUGGCUUUAAGCCACAACAUUUAAAGCGAAUUUACCCUAAAAUUUUACAAUGAAAAACCUAUACUACCUUUAACAUUGUUGUCAAAAUUAUUAUUAUAAGUAAUAUUUACCAAACACUAUCAACUUCCAAUUCAUAUCAAAGAGCUUUCACUCCACAAUAGCCGUGUCUUCUUAAGCCAGAACAACACAAUACCAAAGGCCUUAAGCUAGUGAUUUGAUUUCACAACAACUGCAGAUCAAGCCUCAAUCCCAAACAUACAUAAAUCAAAUGCAGAAAGCAAAAAUUUAACAAUAUGUUUGGUAUACUAAAUGUCUUUCAUAGUUUCAUUUCACAGGGUAUUUAGACAUGCAAUGAUAAAUUGGAGCAAUUUCAAGAACCGAAUUGACCUCAGGUAAAAUUUUGCCAAAAAGUUCCAAGCUGAAGUCGUAAAGCUCGCCUUGGACUCCGACGGCCGAGAAGCCAAAAAUCCCCUGAGGCUCGCAUUUCACAGAAAUGUCUUUCGCAUCGGGUAAUGAAAUGGUAAGGUAUACUUUAUCGGAGCGCUGAGCCCAAAGAACCUCCGGAUGGCGACUGAACAUAAAAGAAAUAAUAAUAAUAAUAAUAUUAUUAUUUUUUAUUGUGACAAUUUUGAACUAAUAAUUAGAGACAUUUAACAACAAUAUUGAUUAAUAUUGGAGAAGAAAAAUAAGGUUACAAGAGAGAAUCAGAAAGAUUACCUCAUUCUGGUGGAUGAUUGAAAACGGUGGGUCGAUUGAUGAACAGAAGUGUAACUGUCUGGGAGUGAGAGUGACUCUGCUGUUUACUGGGUAGAGUGUGCUUACUCGAAGAAAUUGAAAGUGAUAAUCUCGGGCAAGCCAACACGUCGAUUUGGUCAACAGUGGUCCAACAAACCAGGAACUAGGUUUUUUUUUUUAAAUGAUUUUUUUUUUCAGUAUUAUAUUGCCCCGCCCGUGGGCUAUUACAUUUUGGCCCUUUUGGGGACCCCUCGUUCUCUUACAAGAAGGGAAUAUUCUUUUCCAUCCACCGGUUUGUAGGCAGAGUACAUAUACUCUUCGAAAUUAAGGACAAAUUUCUGAAUCGUGCCGCAUUAGAAUUAAAUUGAGUCUCAAAAGAAUUUUGGUUAUAAGUAUAUCGUUCAAACGGUAAUAUAUUAAAAAAAAUAAUAUUUACUACAAUGUAGACCUAUCGGGACUUUGAAGCCCAGACCAAUUCUUGAGUCUAGCCUAAUAACACCUCAACAGAUCAAAAUUGAAAUCCAACUUAAAUUUCAAUAUUGUGUAGGGAUCUGCCUUAAUUUAGAUAUGUCAAGACCUGCCUUAGGCAUCAAAGUGAUCUAUCUUAACAUAACUAAGACUUUCUUUAAACAUCACAAUGAUUUAUCUUAACGUAGUCAAAUCUAGCCUAAAAAAAUCUAAAGAAGGAAAAAAGAAAUUAUUUUCACGUAUUGAGAGACUUAAAUUCUUAACCUUAUUCAUAAGAAAAAAAAGUGUAUUACUUAACUAAAUCGUGACUAAAAAUUAUAAUUAUUAUUUUUUGUACAUUUAGCUUUAAAAAAUCAUUAUAUAUAUAUAUUCAUAUAAGUUUUGACAUAAUAUACAUACCACUUAUUUGUUUUUUAAAUUAUACGAGAAUGAAAAAACUCAAGCAUUAAACACCAACUUUUGUUUCAUGCUAUCAAUCAACUUGAGAAAUUUUAUAAUAUAUCGGAAGUUCUACGUCACAAUUUAAUACGAAGCCUUCGAUUAAUAAUAAUUAGACACAUGACAAUAGAUGCUAGAGAAAUUUUAAAUUCCCUCUUUUCAUUAUCCCUCCAAAUUUAGAAUUUCAAAAAAUUAGAGAAUAAAUGUUGCUUGCUCUCUUUGUUAUCUAAUUCUAAUUAUUAUUUUUUUCUCUCUCUCUCCAAUCAAGUUGCUAGCAUUUUUUAAAUCUAUUGAAGAAUAAGAAGAAGGUUUUUGUCGAUGAAAUGAUUUUGGCAGCCUUUUUUACCCAAAGCUAACAUGAUUGCUGCGACUACCAAUGAAGAAAAAGAUGUGUUUUGCUGGCGAAGAAGAUGAUUUUUGAAGCAUGAGUGGCUGCCGUUUAUUUUUUUCCUUCAUAUUUUUCGAUGUAGUGGCUGUCCUCAAGUUUUAUUCAUUUACUUUUCAGUUGGCCUACUAUUUAUUGGCAUAAUGAAAAAUUUUAUUUUAAUAAGCAUUUAUAGAUUAAUUUGAGGAGGUUUCUUUUGCAAUAUUAGUGUGGUUUCUGCAUUGGUAUGAUUUAAAUUACGAACUUGCUACAAUCUUUAAUUAAACUGUCAAAAGUAAUUUAAAAAAUCUUUAAUUAAACCGUCAAAAGUAAUUUAAAAACUGACAGUAGAUAGAUUAGAGAUAGGCUUGACAAUUUAGCCCGACUCUAUUUUUAGUCUGAUUGAUCCGAUCCUAAUUUUUAAGACUUUGGCCUGAAUUUUUUGAUUUCGGGUCGGGUUCGGGUCAAAAUUUUAAGGCCCGAACAAAUUUAGGGUCAGGGUCGGACUUAAAACCAACCCGACCCGACCCUAUUUAAAAAAAAAAAAACUAACACACGCACACAACACAUGACAGUUCACUCUCUCUAAAUCGUAAAUCACACACACAAAAUACACUUACACAAAUUCACAAAAACCCUAAGCCAGCCACCCAGCCUGCUGCCGUCCUAUCAGCCAACAUCGUGACCGUCCGCCGCACGCCAGCCAAUCAGCCGUCGUCUCGUCGUCGCAUGUCUCACCAAUCAGCCAUCGUGACCGUCUGCGACGCUGCGACAUGAACUUGAACCAGCCGCCCUUUGUCGCCGUCCUGCCGCAUCCGCCUGCCAGCCAACGAUCAAUGCACACAGUUGAAUUGUGGGGUGGGAAAUGGUUUCGAUAGGGUCGGGCUCGACCCGACCCUAACUAUAAAGAGGUAGGGCUUUUUUAGGGUCGGGUUUUAAUUUUUUGUUGAUCGGGUCGGGUCGGGUUUGGCCAAACCCGAGCCCGACCCGACGUUUUGCCAUCCCUAAUUAGAGAUGAAGAUUGGAGAGAGAGAAAAAUAUAAUUUGAAUGAGAUAAUAAAGAGAGAAGAAAUUCUAUAAUACAUCAUAAGUAAUAUAACUCAUUGAUGUAUGCAUGAUAUAUGUAAUUAACCUUAAUAUAACUAACACUUGUAUGGUGAUAUUUCAAAAUAAAUAUACAUAUGUUAUAAAAUCAUUUACUUAUUGUAUGACUGACAUUUUAUUUUUGAUGUAUUGUACAAUUUCUCAGAAGAGAGUAGUAUUUAUUAUCUCUAAUUUUUUGAAAUUCUAAAUUUUGGAAGGAUAAUAGAAAGAGAAAUUUUAAAAAUUUUUCAACGUAUAAUGCCAUGUAUCUAAUUAUUAUUAGUCGGUGUUCCACGUUAAAACGUAAUAUAGAACCUCUGGACCUUACUGUAUAAUGUACUGUAGAAUUUCCUGAUCACACACUUUCUCAGUUGCAAAAGAGGUGGGCAUAUGAGUUCCUUACGGGGAUUUAGUGUGAAUCCACGCAAAGCCCAUAUAGAUUUUUCCGGUUAACCGCUAUGGCAUCCUAGUUUUAAACUCAGUACUAAAUUUACAGAUCCAUUUAAACCCCCCAAAUCAGUCUCUCACCGUCUCAAGUCUCAAACAAAAAACCUGACCGGAACCCAAACCGCCAAAUCCGAUUCGAUGGUGGACUGUGCUAAAACCCCUAAAAUUCCAAGACUGACAUGCGGUAAAGGAGAUGGUGAUAGACUUAGCAAUCUUCCGGAGCACAUCAUUUAUCACAUAUUCUCGUUCAUGGAAACAGUUGAUGUUGUUAGAGCAAGCACUGUUUCGCGAAGAUGGAGGUACUUGUGGCUUUCCGUUCCUUAUUUGAACUUCGACUAUCACACAAUUUGGUCAGACCCGGAAAGUAGAUGGUCUCGUAGGAAAAUCAAUGAUAAGUUCAAAGAUUUUGUCAACUGGGUAAUAUUUUCUCAAAAUGGGUCUGUUAAUAUUCAAAGAUUUCGUCUUUGCUGCUGGGAUUAUUUAGCAAGUUACGAUAACGAUAGAACGAUUUACAGAUGGGUUUCUGCUAUGGCACGUCGAAACGUGCAAGUGCUUGAUCUGGCUAUAGCUUCACUAUACCCAUUUGAGUUUGACUUGCCACAUAGUCUUGUAACUUGUGAUUCAUUGGUGGAACUGAAGUUGAGUUUGAGCUUUCAUGUUCACCGAUGUUUUUUAAAGCUGCCUACUGCUGCUGGUUUUAUUGGGCUCAAGUCUCUUGAUUUACAAAGUGUUGCGUUGGAUGAUAAUUUGUUUCCUGAAUUUAUUUCAAAUCUUCCCCUGCUUGAGAAUUUGUGUAUGUUGUCAUGUGUUUUUCCUGAAUUGAAGGUUCUUGACAUUUCUUCCACUAAUUUGAAGAAUUUGGCUCUGGAAUCCAUUGUUGGCAAUGAUAAUGCUGGCAAUGAUGAUGCUGGCAAUGAUGAUGCUGGCAACUACAAGCUUAAGAUUGCUUGUCCAAAUCUUGUGUCUUUUAAUUAUAUAGCUUUAGCUCCAUGGUUACCUCACUUUGCUUUUGAGAGCUUAAACUCCUUGCAAAAUGCAUUCAUUGACCUGGAUGAUUAUAACGAGGAUGACAUGGAGAACGAAAGAUGUCAUGUUUUAUCUACAAUCUUCAAUGACUUUCGUGAAGUUAAAGUUUUGAAAUUAUCAGAAGCCAUUCUUCUCGAGGUAUGAUUUCAAAUACAUUCAUUGCACCAAAUCAUGAUUCUGCCAGAACUUGUCUACACUUUUUUAUUUUGACAUUAGAAAUGAAGCUUAAGUAAACUGAAUCUACUUUCUUUGUUUGGUAAAAUAAGAAUUCUAUUGAUUAUGGAACCUUCCUAAAUGCUAAUUUGUUCUUUAGACUGUGUAUAAGUCAUUGUGACAUUGUAUGAAGUCUCAUUUAUCUGAGUAAUCAAUUGUUAUUGAUGUCAAAGACUAGAACUCAUUGGUGACUUGAGUUUAUGUAUAUUAUCGUUUGUUAGAUUUUUUGUGUGAUUAUUGCACUUAACUUGACUAAUGUAUUCUCUUUCUUUUUGCCAUUGUUCCUCCAGGUUCUUGAUCCUGAUCCUGCUCACGAAGAACCAGCAUUUUUUUCCACUUCAUUCAAUAAUUUGAAGUCCUUAAUACUUUCUGCAGGUCCGGGUGUAUGUCUCAUGCCAUCAAUGCUUAGGUUGCUCAACUGCUCUCCAAAUCUAGAAGCUCUUGCAAUAUAUUCUCCUAAGGUAAUCUUAACACCAAAAACUAUUCCAUUUGUUAGAUACCGUCGCUUCUAUCCAUUUUUUUUAAAAAUCAUAUCUCCCAUUUAUGUGCUAAAAUUUUAAUUUUGUUAAAGUGCAACUGGGCUUUGCUUAAAUUAUCGCAAUAGAGUUGAAACCUGAAAGUAUUUGUGAUAUAUUAUGUUUACCGCUUAGAGCUUAAAGUAAAUGUUAAUCUUGUGGCCUCUUGGUUGUUCCCAUGCUAUUGCUUGUUGAGCAGAUGGUUGAAUUUAGAGUCAAUCAAUCGGUUGUGUUCUUCUGAGGUUUGUGCAAGUUUUGUAAAAGAGCAAAGUUUAGUAUUUGUUUAGUUUGUGAAAAUGAUAUAGCUUUUUCUAAUUCAUCUUACUCUAUUCUUUGCUUAAAAAUGAAUUCUCCUUUUGAUUUGAUUCCUUGACUGCAUUUCGGUCUGUUUUCUCUUGGCAGCAUCGGCGUGGAUAUAAUGCUUAUAGGAAAACACCGAACAAGGCUGCUAUUUCAUGUUUGACAAAUCAUCUCAAGACAGUUGAAAUAAAACAUUUUAGCGGUGAUAUGAAUCAACUUGAAAUUGUGAGGUUUCUUCUAAGGAAUGGACAUGUAUUGCAGAGAAUGAGUAUUAGAUGGGUGGCAGAUGUUAAGAAUCAAGGGAAGAUUAUCUCAAGGAUAAUGAAGUUUCGGAGAUCAUCUUCAAGUGUUGUGCUGAAAUUCCUAGAUCCUAAGCCAGCUGAUGAUUUUUCAGAUUAUUUAUUUGAUGAUGAGCAAAAGAACUAAAAUUAUGUUUAAAUUAAAAAAAAAAAAAGUGGUUUAAGUGUAUGUUCGAAUUAAAUAGUCUUUUGGAUUUGUAGAAACUGAAAGGAGUACAGUGCCAGUCACUGUGGCAGCCUUAUGUUUUGUUUGAAAAAAUUCGGAAGCUUCUAAAUUGUUAUAUACCUCAAUUCUGAAGUCGUUAGUAUGUAUAUUAUAAGCAAUACAUAUGUUCCAUUUGUCAUAUUUUAUUUUGGCAUUACGAUUGUUUUGUCUUGAUUAAUAUUGAUUAUAAUUUGUUUAACAUUUAUCUGGCAUAUGUAGAAUUAUACUUUAUCUGAGUAGAUGACGCUGCUGCGUACAUCUUCAGGACUCGGUCAUAAACUGUUUAUCUCUGCGUCUGUCUAGCAUCCAUCCACGUAUGACCUGUCGGCUUUUUGCCCGCAAGCAUACAGUUAGGGGUGGUAAAAAUAUCUGUCCGGUCUGGAUUCGGUUCGCACCCGGAUGUUUUAUCCGGCCCGGUCUUGGGCAUCAUUUGAUAAAUUCGGAACCCGAGUUUUAUUAAGCGCCUUGGCCGUACAGCAGUAUAUUAUUUUAAAUAUUUAUAUUUAUUUGACUCAUUUAUUACAUAUAUAUAAAGUUUUAGACACUUAAAGUUUAUAUUUUCAUGUCAAAUUUCAUUAAAAUAAAUUUAAAACUUAUAAAAUUACCAAAAAAUAAAAAAUAUAUACAUAUAUAAUAUUAAAAAAUAUAAAAUCUGGGUACCCAAAUUAAAACCCGGCACAAUCCGACCCAGGCAUCUAUGCA